rnacentral:rRNA from 1 species
ACCUGGCGGUCCGAGGAGGCCGUCCAGGGGUGUUGCGUUCCGGUGCGUCCUUGCCGCCCGAGUUGCUGACCGCCUAAGUCAUUGCUUGAAAGCAGCCCCAUGGAGGGUGAUAGGCCCGUGUGGCGGCGCCCUUACAAAGGGUGUAGGCGGCUUGGGCGGGCGGGCGUCCACCGUAGAGUCGGGUUGCCUAGUAACGCAGCCCUAAGUAGGUGGUAAACUCCAUCUAAGGCUAAAUACUCCCACGAGUCCGAUAGUGCACAAGUACCGUGAGGGAAAGCUGAAAAGAACUCUGAAGAGAGAGUUCAAGAGGACGUGAAACCGUUAGAAGCUUAAACGGGUGGAACCGCGAAGGUUGAGCCAGGGGAUUCAGCUCGCCGGGGCGAGCGGUGCGUAUGGCAGGUCAGAGAUUGCUAUGUAUGACCGGACCCGUCGCGGAGUCGCGAGCGGGCACUGCCGUCGCCCGCGCGUUUUUCGGCGGGCUUACUUCUCCCUGGCGACAGUCGCCGCGACCCGUUCCGGGGGGCCCAAGGGCCGUGCCGCACUGGUAGUCUGGGC